AACGGGAGCGCGUACGAUGUGGCCUUCAGGAUCACUAAAGCCAACGGACUUCAGUUCAACCCCGACCACGGCGUUCUCAAGCCUAACGAGAAGGUGCCACUCAAGUUCAAAGUGCGUCCAAGCACGAGGCGACCCGAGCAGGCCGAGAUCGAGAUCCUGGCGAUACGCGUCAACCCGACCAACAGCGACAAGGUGAUCGAGGAUAAGUGGCGCCUGGUGCCCGCCAACAAGGUGUCGCGCGUCCGCCACACCGUGCAGCUAAGGGCGCCCGAGAAACCCAGGCAGCGGCCGUUCCCGCCAUCUCCCGCAGUGCCCCACGUGACGCCCCCGGAACGGACUUCUGGGCAUGCAGAGGAGCGGCGUGCGGAG
rnacentral:lncRNA from 1 species